CCAGACUCCUACGGGAGGCAGCAGUGGGGGAUAUUGGACAAUGGGGGGAACCCUGAUCCAGCGACGCCGCGUGAGUGAAGAAGUAUCUCGGUAUGUAAAGCUCUAUCAGCAGGGAAGAAAGAAAUGACGGUACCUGAGUAAGAAGCUCCGGCUAAAUACGUGCCAGCAGCCGCGGUAAUACGUAUGGAGCAAGCGUUAUCCGGAUUUACUGGGUGUAAAGGGAGCGCAGGCGGCUUUGCAAGUCUGAUGUGAAAGGCCAGGGCUCAACCCUGGGACUGCAUUGGAAACUGUAAAGCUAGAGUGCCGGAGAGGUAAGCGGAAUUCCUAGUGUAGCGGUGAAAUGCGUAGAUAUUAGGAGGAACACCAGUGGCGAAGGCGGCUUACUGGACGGCAACUGACGCUGAGGCUCGAAAGCGUGGGGAGCAAACAGGAUUAGAUACCCUCGUAU
rnacentral:rRNA from 1 species